AGUGAACGCUGGCGGUAGGCCUAACACAUGCAAGUCGAACGGCAGCACAGUAAGAGCUUGCUCUUACGGGUGGCGAGUGGCGGACGGGUGAGGAAUACAUCGGAAUCUACUUUUUCGUGGGGGAUAACGUAGGGAAACUUACGCUAAUACCGCAUACGACCUACGGGUGAAAGCAGGGGAUCUUCGGACCUUGCGCGAUUGAAUGAGCCGAUGUCGGAUUAGCUAGUUGGCGGGGUAAAGGCCCACCAAGGCGACGAUCCGUAGCUGGUCUGAGAGGAUGAUCAGCCACACUGGAACUGAGACACGGUCCAGACUCCUACGGGAGGCAGCAGUGGGGAAUAUUGGACAAUGGGGGAAAGCCUGAUCCAGCCAUACCGUGUGGGUGAAGAAGGCCUUCGGGUUGUAAAGCCCUUUUUUUGGGAAAGAAAAGCAGCAGGUUAAUACCCCGCUGUUCUGACGGUACCCAAAGAAUAAGCACCGGCUAACUUCGU
rnacentral:rRNA from 1 species